CCGUUUCUGUUUUCUAGUGAUUUAAAUUUUUGUUAUAUGAAAUAGAAAAUGAAAAUCAAAAAUUUUUUUGAAUUUCGCUCAUCCCUUUCUGACCAUGAAAAAGAAAAACGCCUUGUAUUUCAAUUUUAAUUUUUGUAUUUUAAAACAUUCGUUUUCUGUUUUUUAAUACCCGUUUCUGAAAGGAAAAUCCAAUGACCAAAACAUACACGGACCAUACACGGACCCAGUUUACUCCUCUGUUGAGAUGCUUCUUUCCCUCACCUGUCUUGUCACCACUCUUUUCUCUUCUAAAUCUAAUUCACUUCUCAAAUAACUGACUCUUCUGUACUCUUACAUUCAGCACAAGAUCAUAUGCCUCAUGCAGCCUUUAUUCCAACACAGUGUUUCUCAAUCUCCUCUAACCAUCUGUCUUUGUCAUAUGCAACAUACACUCUCCACAUUAUUGCUCCUCUACCCAUCUGCCUACCACACUGUUUUAUCUUUCAUUCUUUUUUCCUUUGUUCAGUGUGAGUAUAUUCUGAGUAGACUUUUAAAGAAUAUAUCACAUAGCAAACAUGACUUCAAGGUUGCAGUGAUCACUCCAGAUAAGGGCUGAAUGAUAUAAUGAAUUUUAAUAGAUAUUGCAAUGUUUUACCAACUGCUUCACUAAAUUUUGUUUCAUUUUUUCAGUGUAGUCAAAUCUAUUAUAAUAUUAAAAGUUAAAGGGCCAAAAUGUGCAAUGAGGAGAGUGACUGCUGAAUCUUGUCACUGUUUAAAUACAUUUUCUCCUUAACAGAGUGGAAUUCCAAUAGAGAAAACCAGAGAAGUUGUCAUCCGAUGUCUCAUUGAUCACCUCGGCGAGGAUGUGGGUGCCUUAAUCAAAGAGUUUGAGAAUCUUGAUGAUACAGCCGUCAAUGUGGAAGAAGAGCUGGCAGCAGAGACGAUGGCUCUGUGCCUUGUGCAUAAUGAAGAUGGACAAGUCAGGGAUGUACAGUCCCUGACAAAAGUCUUGUCACUUAUCCAUUUUGUAGAAACAGCAGCUUAUAACCUGACUUUUAAUUAAUCCAUUGGUUUUAGAAAUGGCUCAUAUGAAAGCUAAAACCCUCCCAAAUUAUGUUUAAUAUACUAAAAUGAAUUUGCUUCACUGAAGAAAGAUUGAUCAUUUAAUGAACACAGAAAGGUCAGAUUUUGGCAAGACAAAAGUUUUGUCGCCUACAGAGAGUAAUGUGAAAAUUGAACAAAUAAUUUACUUCAAA